UACGGAGGGUGCGAGCGUUAAUCGGAAUUACUGGGCGUAAAGCGCGCGUAGGCGGUUUGAUAGGUCGGGUGUGAAAGCCCCGGGCUUAACCUGGGAAUUGCAUUCGAUACUGUCUGACUCGAGUCUGGGAGAGGGAAGCGGAAUUCCGGGUGUAGCGGUGAAAUGCGUAGAUAUCCGGAGGAACAUCAGUGGCGAAGGCGGCUUCCUGGCCUAAGACUGACGCUGAGGUGCGAAAGCGUGGGGAGCAAACAGG
rnacentral:rRNA from 1 species